GCCCCCGUAGUGUAGCGGCCUAGCACGCCGCUCUCUCAAGGCGGUAGCGCCGGUUCGAAUCCGGUCGGGGGUA
rnacentral:tRNA from 1 species